rnacentral:rRNA from 1 species
UACGAAGGGGGGCUAGCGUUGCUCGGAAUCACUGGGCGUAAAGCGCACGUAGGCGGCUUUCUAAGUCAGGGGUGAAAUCCUGGAGCUCAACUCCAGAACUGCCUUUGAUACUGGAGAGCUUGAGUCCGGAAGAGGUGAGUGGAACUCCGAGUGUAGAGGUGAAAUUCGUAGAUAUUCGCAAGAACACCCGUGGCGAAGGCGGCUCUCUGGGACGGUACUGACGCUGAGACGCGAAAGCGUGGGGAGCGAACAGG